GACGAACGCUGGCGGCGUGCUUAACACAUGCAAGUCGAACGGAAAGGCCUCUUUCGGGGGGUACUCGAGUGGCGAACGGGUGAGUAACACGUGAGUAACCUGCCCUUGACUUUGGGAUAACUUCAAGAAACUGGGGCUAAUACCGGAUAGGAGCUCCUGCUGCAUGGUGGGGGUUGGAAAGUUUCGGCGGUUGGGGAUGGACUCGCGGCUUAUCAGCUUGUUGGUGGGGUAGUGGCUUACCAAGGCUUUGACGGGUAGCCGGCCUGAGAGGGUGACCGGCCACAUUGGGACUGAGAUACGGCCCAGACUCCUACGGGAGGCAGCAGUGGGGAAUAUUGCACAAUGGGUGGAAGCCUGAUGCAGCAACGCCGUGUGCGGGAUGACGGCCUUCGGGUUGUAAACCGCUUUCGCUCAUGACGAAGCUUUGUGUGACGGUAGUGGGUAAAGAAGCACCGGCUAACUACGUG
rnacentral:rRNA from 1 species